GGAAGUAAAAGUCGUAACAAGGUUUCCGUAGGUGAACCUGCGGAAGGAUCAUUCAUAAUUGAGUGUUUUAUGGCACUCUUUAAAAAAUCCAUAUCCACUUUGUGUGCAACGUUUUUAGACACCCUGGCGCUGAUAUCUCUUUUUAUAAGAGAAGGAAAGCCAGGAUGUUUGAUUAACUUAACUCAACUCCUUUAAAACAGUUUGUCUGAAUACCUAUUUCUGAAUAACAUAAUUCAAAAAUACAACUUUCAACAACGGAUCUCUUGGCUCUCGCAUCGAUGAAGAACGCAGCGAAAUGCGAUACGUAAUGUGAAUUGCAGAAUUCAGUGAAUCAUCGAAUCUUUGAACGCACAUUGCGCUCUCUGGUAUUCCGGAGAGCAUGCUUGUUUGAGUAUCAGUAAACACCUCAAUUUCAAGAUUUUUUUUAUAUAUUUUGAAAUUGGACUUGAGCAUAUCCCAACGUGUAUUUAAUUACAUGGAGGGUUGCUUCAAAUGCAGGUGCAGCCGAUCAUUCUUCUGGGCUAAAAGCAUUAUCUAGUUAGUCCCGUAAAACGGAUUAUUCAUUUUAUUGCUGCAGCUUACCUUUAUGAAAGGAAGACAUGGUCAUUGUGCUGACUGAUGCAGGAUUUCUCAGAGGGUCUGCAAAGACUUUUUUGAAAACUCGAUCUCAAAUCAAGUAAGACUACCCGCUGAACUUAAGCAUAUCAAUAAGCGGAGGA
rnacentral:rRNA from 1 species